rnacentral:rRNA from 1 species
AUUGAACGCUGGCGGCAGGCCUAACACAUGCAAGUCGAACGAGUGGCGGACGGGUGAGUAAUGUCUUGGAAAAUGCCCGAUGGAGGGGGAUAACUACUGGAAACGGUAGCUAAUACCGCAUCCCAUCGGAUGUGCCCAGAUGGGAUUAGCGAGUAGGUGGGGUAACCGCUCACCUAGGCGACGAUCCCCAGCUGGUCUGAGAGGAUGACCAGACACACUGGAACUGGGACACGGUCUAGACUCAGACGGGAGGAAGCAGUGGGGAAUAUUGCACAAUGGGCGAAAGCCUGAUGCAGCCGUGCUGCGUGGAUGAAGAGGUCCUUGGGGUUGUAAAGUAUUUUCAGCGAGGAGGCGUUACUCGCAGAAGAAGCACCGGCUAACUACGUGCCAGCAGCCGCGGUAAUAC